GACGAACGCUGGCGGCGUGCUUAACACAUGCAAGUCGAACGGAAAGGCCCUGCUUUUGUGGGGUGCUCGAGUGGCGAGCGGGUGAGUAACACGUGAGUAACCUGCCCUUGACUUUGGGAUAACUUCAGGAAACUGGGGCUAAUACCGGAUAGGAGCUCCUGCUGCAUGGUGGGGGUUGGAAAGUUUCGGCGGUUGGAGAUGGACUCGCGGCUUAUCAGCUUGUUGGUGGGGUAGUGGCUUACCAAGGCUUUGACGGGUAGCCGGCCUGAGAGGGUGACCGGCCACAUUGGGACUGAGAUACGGCCCAGACUCCUACGGGAGGCAGCAGUGGGGAAUAUUGCACAAUGGGCGGAAGCCUGAUGCAGCAACGCCGCGUGCGGGAUGACGGCCUUCGGGUUGUAAACCGCUUUCGCCUGUGACGAAGCGUGAGUGACGGUAAUGGGUAAAGAAGCACCGGCUAACUACGUG
rnacentral:rRNA from 1 species